CACGUCCCGGUCGUCGUCUUCGUCCGCAGCCAGCAGGCACAGUACCACGUUAUCGGGGUCUCUGCGGGCAGCGGGGCAGCGACAUGUUAGAAGCCUUCCCACAGGCUGUUUACCUAAAGAAACCACUGUUCUCCUGAGGCAUUGACUAUCCAGAUGACAGUGUCCCACAAAUGUGCUGGGCAAUCAGACACCACAGGAGUUGCAAAGCAGCACAACCCAAGGACACACUUGCCAAAGCUGCAGUCAUCACAAAAGACAGGACAGAGCUCCACAAGCCACUGCCCAAGAACACGUGGUUAAGGCUGGCCAGUUCCCACAUGCCUGCCACCACAACUACUCUGCAGCCGAGGCUGCAGGAUCCAGAAGUUCAAGGGUCCACGAGGUAGCUUAGAGAGGAAAGGUGUUGGCUGUCAAGCCUGAUGACUCAGGAUUCAGAUUAU